rnacentral:rRNA from 1 species
GUGGGAACGUGCCCUUUGGUUCGGAACAACACAGGGAAACUUGUGCUAAUACCGGAUAAGCCCUUCGGGGGAAAGAUUUAUUGCCAUUGGAGCGGCCCGCGUUGGAUUAGGUAGUUGGUGAGGUAAAGGCUCACCAAGCCUACGAUCCAUAGCUGGUCUGAGAGGAUGAUCAGCCACAUUGGGACUGAGAACACGGCCCAAACUCCUACGGGAGGCAGCAGUGGGGAAUCUUGCGCAAUGGGCGAAAGCCUGACGCAGCCAUGCCGCGUGAAUGAUGAAGGUCUUAGGAUUGUAAAAUUCUUUCAGCGGGGACGAUAAUGACGGUACCCGCAGAAGAAGCCCCGGCUAACUUCGUGCCAGCAGCCGCGGUAAUACGAAGGGGGCUAGCGUUGCUCGGAAUUACUGGGCGUAAAGGGAGCGUAGGCGGAUAGUUUAGUCAGAGGUGAAAGCCCAGGGCUCAACCUUGGAAAUGCCUUUGAUACUGGCUAUCUUGAGUAUGGGAGAGGUAAGCGGAAUUCCGAGUGUAGAGGUGAAAUUCGUAGAUAUUCGGAAGAACACCAGUGGCGAAGGCGGCUUACUGGCCCAUUACUGACGCUGAGGCUCGAAAGCGUGGGGAGCAAACAGGAUUAGAUACCCUGGUAGUCCACGCUGUAAACGAUGAGUGCUAGUUGUCGGCAUGCAUGCAUGUCGGUGACGCAGCUAACGCCUUAAGCACUCCGCCUGGGGAGUACGGUCGCAAGAUUAAAACUCAAAUGAAUUGACGG